UAGAUUGACAGAUGUCAGUCUUGCUCCAUAUGCUUCCAUGUUAAGAGCUGAGCAUACCAGGACAUUGAAAAGAAAGAUUAUUUCACACAGUAUCAUAUCACCUACUUAUUCCUGCCUCCAGGAUCUUGCCUUGACUUCCUGCCCUGACUUCCCUUCAUGCUGGACUGCGGCUGGCGUAAAGCUUACACAUGGCGGUGGGGCUCAAGGAGGAGCCAGAAAAGGAAGACAGGAGGACUCCAGGGGCCAGCCACCCAGUUACACAGCAAGCUACGGAAUAAGAAGUAAAAAAAGAUACUAUCCCUACACUGUCCUUAAGAUGACCCCUUUUGGAAUUGUCCCUGACCCUUCAGAAUCCAGACCCUCCAGUCUGAAUGACUUUAGCUUUCAUCAGGUGCCUUGGUGCCCAGCCACCCUGGCUGCGAUGGAAUAAAUGGGACACAUAUGUCACUUGGAACCUCAUGAGUCUCUUCAGCAAUCCCCCUAAUUUCUGCCUCACAUCUUCCAUAGCAGAUGUAACUCACAGAGCAGUGGUGUGGAGUCAUGGAGGCGGCAGCUCUGCCCUCCUGAUGCUGAUGGGAAUGGUUCUGCUGUUUCACCAUGAAGGAAGAUAUAGGCUCUCCAUACGAGGUGCUUCAUGUUGAGUAGCCUCCUGUAUCUGUCACCUGCCUCGUUGCUGUGACAAAACAUCUGAUGACAAGCAAACUCAAGAGCAAGUUUUUCCUGGGGGGAAAGAAUGGCAGCAGGCACUUGGGCAGCUGGUCACGUUGCACCUGCAGUCCGGAAGCAGGAAGACAUGUACAGUGAUGUUCAGCUCGCUUUCCAUAUUUUAUUUGUUCCAGGAUCCUCAUACUCACAAAGUUAGUGCAGGACACCAGAACCUAAUGGUACUCAUAAGGUGUCAUGUUCCUUUAGCUAGCCUAAUGAGAUGUGACAGCAACUGGGCUUAUAUUUCUUCUAGAACUUAGUCCUUGAAAAGAUGCUGUCAUAGUUAGAGUAGCUUCCUGCCACAAUUCACCUAAUCUAGAAAUGCUUGACAAGCAUGCCCAGAGGUUUGUCUCCCAGGUGAUGCUAGACCCUGUCAAGCUGAAAACCAAUAUUAGCCAUAACACUCCCAUCCCUAUUUUUCUCUGGAUUGCUUUUUUUCAAUUGUGCAUGAAUAUUGUAUUUUAUCUGAAUGCUUUUUGUCAACCAUUGUUAAUUAUCAUGUGGGUUUUCAUAUUGAAAAGCUGUCAGUAUAUUAAUAGACUUUUUUUUCUAACACUAAUCUGUCCUUGCUUCUCUAGAAUAAAACUGGUUUAACUGUGAUAG
rnacentral:lncRNA from 1 species